rnacentral:rRNA from 1 species
GAUGAACGCUGGCGGCGUGCCUAAUACAUGCCAGUCGAGCGAACAGAUAAGGAGCUUGCUCCUUUGACGUUAGCGGCGGACGGGUGAGUAACACGUGGGUAACCUACCUAUAAGACUGGGAUAACUUCGGGAAACCGGAGCUAAUACCGGAUAAUAUUUCGAACCGCAUGGUUCGAUAGUGGAAGAUGGUUUUGCUAUCACUUAUAGAUGGACCCGCGCCGUAUUAGCUAGUUGGUAAGGUAACGGCUUACCAAGGCGACGAUACGUAGCCGACCUGAGCGGGUGAUCGGCCACACUGGAACUGAGACACGGUCCAGACUCCUACGGGAGGCAGCAGUAGGGAAUCUUCCGCAAUGGGCGAAAGCCUGACGGAGCAACGCCGCGUGAGUGAUGAAGGUCUUCGGAUCGUAAAACUCUGUUAUUAGGGAAGAACAUACGUGUAAGUAACUGUGCACGUCUUGACGGUACCUAAUCAGAAAGCCACGGCUAACUACGUG